rnacentral:rRNA from 1 species
UACGGAGGGUGCAAGCGUUGUUCGGAAUCACUGGGCGUAAAGGGCGUGUAGGCGGUCCGCUAAGUCUGAUGUGAAAGCCCGAGGCUUACCCUCGGAAGUGCAUUGGAGACUGGCGGACUUGAGUCCCGGAGAGGAGGGUGGAAUUCCUGGUGUAGCGGUGAAAUGCGUAGAUAUCAGGAGGAACACCGGUGGCGAAGGCGGCCCUCUGGACGGUGACUGACGCUGAGACGCGAAAGCGUGGGGAGGCAAACAGG